rnacentral:rRNA from 1 species
CAGCUGUAAACGAUGCAGACUAGGUGUUUGGACGGCCACGUGCCGUUCUAGUGCCGCAGGGAAGCUGUUAAGUCUGCCGCCUGGGGAGUACGAUCGCAAGAUUGAAACUUAAAGGAAUUGGCGGGGGAGCACCACAAGGGUGAAGCUUGCGGUUUAAUUGGAGUCAACGCCGGAAAUCUCACCGGGAGCGACAGCAGUGUGAUAGCCAGAUUAAAGGUCUUGCUAGACGAGCUGAGAGGUGGUGCAUGGCGUAGUCGUGU